rnacentral:rRNA from 1 species
CAGCAGCCACGGUAACACGUAGGUGGCAAGCGUUGUCCGGAAUUAUUGGGCGUAAAGGGCUCGCAGGCGGUUUCUUAAGUCUGAUGUGAAAGCCCCCGGCUCAACCGGGGAGGGUCAUUGGAAACUGGGAAACUUGAGUGCAGAAGAGGAGAGUGGAAUUCCACGUGUAGCGGUGAAAUGCGUAGAGAUGUGGAGGAACACCAGUGGCGAAGGCGACUCCCUGGUCUGUAACUGACGCUGAGGAGCGAAAGCGUGGGGAGCGAACAGGAUUAGAUACCCCGGUAGUCCCUGUCUCUUAUAC